GCUUAAUAAACUGGGUGGCGCCCAACUAAUGAGCCGCUGAUAAGAAAACCAGCUGCCGAGAAGCUUAUUGCUCCCGUAGAGAUAUGAUUCCUGCUCCGUUAAUUUAGGUAUUAGUCCUAUGUUAAUUUAAAACUAGGAUAGAAACAGGCAAGGUAGCUCAUUUACACGUAGAUAGGACUAGAUAAUGUGACCAGACGCUUGAUCCCAAGAUUCCGGGACGCAAGCGGUGUUAACCGAGCUGCCGAAUUUUGGAAAUUUCACCCAGCAGUAGCUAAUUAACAAACAUCGUUUGAUUACCUUGUGUUUAGUGUCAAAUAAAACGCGCUUAAUUGGCAAUAAUUUUAAGGCUGGUCCCAGAUUUUUAGGAUAGCAGGGAAUCGAGUAAUUAGUUAAAGAAGUUUUAAUUUUUGGACGUUAUUACCUCAACAAGCCGCCAGCUGGAAAUUUCGAUGGAAUUC